rnacentral:lncRNA from 1 species
AUAAGUGCUAUAUCAGGUAUAAAUGCUAUAUAAAGGUAAUAGUUUAGAAAAAUGUAAGUUAUUCAAGAAAAAGCCAUGCUUAUGUUGCAAGUAUUUCUUCUAAAGCUACCGAAGCAGAUUCAAAGGGGUAAUUAGGAACUGUAUUUGUCAGCUUGAGGAGAGGGAGAGAAGAGGGAGAGAAGCAGAGUGGGUCCUUUCUAGCAGUGGGUUGAGGGCUUAAAACUUUAGGUACUCAACAAAUGUGCAUUGAAUCUGAGCAUAGUCCAGCUUCUAUCUUAUACAAACCAAGUUAAUGCAGCAGUCCUAUGAAAGACAUGUAUUGGAAUGCCGGUAUGAUAGCCUUCCCUUGUGGUUAAGCUGUUUUCUCUCUGUACCUCAUCCAUCUGAUGGUCUUGGAAAGGGGAAAGAAUGGAUGUGAUCUCAGGGAGGAGGAUACAGCAUCUUGUAAGAGAAGCCUCAGCCACAUGAGGAAGGAGGGACCAGUGCCAUCCCUAGCCCAGUAGACUACAGAAGAAGAAUAUUCCAGGGUUAACUCUUUGCAGCGCAUCCCUGGGUCAGAACCUGGGACACUGGUGGUUGGUGCUGGAUAGUGAACAUUUCAUAGAUAUGGAAGAGUCUGGAACAUCAGGGACUAACAGCAUGUUCCUCUUCCCUGCCUGAGGAAAGUUGCAUACCUGUAGUUAAAAACCUUGAAUGUGAACACGUGUUCCCAGAGUGAUAAUGUAGAUGCCCAGGGAAGGGGCCAGAGAAGAUCCCAAGGGAUUCAGAACGGCUCCCAGAGGCCUAUUCAGGGUGCCUACGGCUGCACUGUCCAGUAUGAUAGCUACUAGACACAUAAGCCCCUCCAGGGCCUCCCUGUGACUGAUGAUCUGCACCAAGGCGCUCCGUGAAGAGGACGUAGCCUCAGAGGAAGAGAACCUGGGCUCCAGCUGUGUGACUUCUGCAAAACCUCUUAACACUCUAGGCCUCAGUGACUUCAUAUGCAACACGGGAAUGUGAAUCAAAUGACUACUACAUUCUUACCCAGCUUAGAUAACAAUCUCUGUUUCAUCUGAAAGACAUCUGGCUGGGGUUGUAGCUGAGAUUAUAAUUAACAUGGAGAACCAGAUCACAUGUUAAUGAAUAAAGUCUUAGCUUUAUUAGUAAGCUUCUACCAGUUCACUGAAAAGCUCUGACAUUUUAUACUUGGAUGGUUGUGGGGGUCAUCUUAUCACUCAAACUGUAUUAGUCUGCUUGAGCUAUCAUAACAAAAUACCAUACCCCAGGAGGCUUAAACUACAGAAAUAUAUUUUCUCAGGUUUUGGAGUUUAGAAGUCUGAGAUCAGGGCACCAGUAUGGCCAGUUCCUGAUGAGGAGCCUCUUUCUGGUUGCAGAUGGCUACCUUCU